UACGAAGGGGGCUAGCGUUGCUCGGAAUCACUGGGCGUAAAGCGCACGUAGGCGGCUUCUUAAGUCAGGGGUGAAAUCCUGGAGCUCAACUCCAGAACUGCCUUUGAUACUGGCGAUCUUGAGUCCGGGAGAGGUGAGUGGAACUGCGAGUGUAGAGGUGAAAUUCGUAGAUAUUCGCAAGAACACCAGUGGCGAAGGCGGCUCACUGGCCCGGUACUGACGCUGAGGUGCGAAAGCAUGGGGAGCGAACAGG
rnacentral:rRNA from 1 species